GAUGAACGCUGGCGGCGUGCCUAAUACAUGCAAGUCGAGCGAACAGACGCGGAGCUUUCUCCUCUGACGUUAUCGGCGGACGGGUGAGUAACACGUGGAUAACCUCCCUCUCAGACUUUGAUGACUUCGGCAAACCGGAGCUACUACCGCAUAAUAUAUUGAACCUCAUGGUUCAAUAGUGAAAGACGGUUUUGCUUUCACUUAUAGAUGGAUCCGCGCCGCAUUAGCUAGUUGGUAGGGUAACGGCUUACCAAGGCAACGAUGCGUAGCCGACCUGAGAGGGGGAUCGGCGACAAUGGAACUGAGACAAGGUGCAGACUACUACGGGAGGCAGCAGUAGGGAAUAUUACGCAAUGGGCGAAAGAAUGAUGGAGCAACGACGCGUGAGUGAUGAAGGUCUUCGGAUCGUAGAACUCUGUUAUUAGGGAAGAAGAAAGGUGGAAGUAACUAUGCACGUCUUGACGGUACCUAAUCAGAAAGCCACGGCUAACUACGUG
rnacentral:rRNA from 1 species